ACCCAACUGGCGAGUCCCAAAUAGGACGAAACGUGCGUCCUGGAU
rnacentral:hammerhead_ribozyme from 1 species